UACGUAGGGUGCAAGCGUUGUCCGGAAUUAUUGGGCGUAAAGAGCUCGUAGGCGGUCUGUCGCGUCGGCUGUGAAAACCCGUGGCUCAACCCCGGGCCUGCAGUCGAUACGGGCAGACUAGAGUGCGGUAGGGGAGACUGGAAUUCCUGGUGUAGCGGUGAAAUGCGCAGAUAUCAGGAGGAACACCGGUGGCGAAGGCGGGUCUCUGGGCCGUAACUGACGCUGAGGUGCGAAGCGUGGGGAGCAAACAGG
rnacentral:rRNA from 1 species